CUAGAAUUUCUUACCAUUGAAGCAGAGUCCUAAGACAAGUCAGGAUUUGUGCAGAGGAGCUUAAUUAAUGAAUUUUGAAACACAUAUUUUUAGAAAGGGUCGGGGUGACAGUGCCAUGUUCAUUUAAAAUUGGGGCACCUAGCAUUCAAGCCUGCGAUGGUACUUCUGGAUGAGUCCCUGGGGUCAAGCCAAUCAGUGUAAGUGUCUGGGGAAGAAUGACCCUCAAUGGGACAGUUGUGGACAUGAGCAGCUGUACUCUCUGUCUGUGGGUCCCUGGCUUUGUGUUCCCCUCUGCAAGGGGUGGUGUGCCCUCUGAAGUUUGGCGUGAUUAAAGGGGGGUUGAUGUCAGCCCUUGAAACCCUGUGUCUGUUGGAAUCAAUGUUACAAAGGGGCAUCUGGAGGGCCCAGGCUGGUGCCGAAGGUGGUCGUGAACAGGCUGGGGCUAUAGUACUGUACAUUCACAGUGGAAAACAGUCAAACCAAAAUUGAAACUAAAAUAAGACAUUUGGGAAGGGAGAAAUUAAACAGAGAAGAGAGAGGAAACAGGUGGAGAGUUCUGUGAAAGUUUUGAAGAUUUUUAGGUUCUUUCUGGUUUUAUUUCCCUCUCUAUAGAAUGGCAUUGUUUUUUUUCUUCUACAUCUAAUUGCCCUUCUGAAGGGACCUGUCUUGAUUUAAGGCCGUUGUUUAUAUACCUGUAUGGGGCUCACAGGUGAUUUUGGUCAGGUGGUUCUUUCUUUUUAGUCUUUUAUUUCACAAAAGGCAGAGAAAGAGGCAAAGAGGAGAAGAGGUAGUGAGGCACGGAUUAGAGGAUAAGACGAAACCGGCAGAGGCCGCUGCCUCUUGGAGAGGCCUGGAGAGUCGGGGUGUCUGACAGAGAAGGAGGGUCCCAGCAGGAAGUUACCAAGCUGUUCCUGGUGGAGAUGGAGGAACUGGCAGUUCUGGUCCUUUUUGGUGGAAGAAAGGAGGUGCUGGGGUUCGGUGGAUCUGGUGCUGCUGUUUUGAGUGCCAUGAGAACAUGCUUAGGCCAGCCUGCUGGAGGAUCAGAGACAUGUGCAACAGAGCACAGCUGCUCCAGCUGAGGCCAGCCUAGAUCAGUCAAGAGCCAGCCAACACCCAGGCCUGUGAGUUAAGUCCAUCCAAGACCAGUGGAUUCACCCUGCAGCUGGCCUGGGACAUGUGAGCAGUGGAGUAAUUGUGGAAUACUGCUAUUGUUUAUUAUGCAGUAUUAAUAUGGCAAUAGCUAUCAGAGCAAUACAAUCCCUAAGGGUUAUUUUGCCUCUAAAAUGUUGACAUUAUGUAACUUUUGGUAUGUCUGCUCUCUGUACUGUGGCUAGCUGUACUUCUUCCACUGCACUUAAUAAACACAAAUUUUAAGAUC